GCGAAUGAAUCCUGAAGGAUGUUGCUGGCUCCUUGGGGCAGGUGCACUCCUCAGAUAUUCUCUUGUCCUCACCUUUUACAAACCCUGUGCACCCUCUGUAGGUUUGGCACGUUCCGACCUAUGUAAUGAAAUUUAUUGUCGUGCGCAAGCACUAAUGUA
rnacentral:misc_RNA from 1 species